AUUGAACGCUGGCGGCAGGCCUAACACAUGCAAGUCGAGCGAGCGGCGGACGGGUGAAUAAUGUAUGGGGACUGCCUGAUAGAGGGGGAUAACUACUGGAAACGUUGGCUAAUACCGCAUACUAUCGGAUAACCCAUAUGGGUUUAGCUAGUGGGUGGGGUAAAGGCUCACCUAGGCGACGAUACCUAGCUGGUCUGAGAGGAUGAGAAGCCACACUGGGACUGAGACACGGCCCAGACUCCUACGGAGGCAGCAGUGGGGAAUAUUGCACAAUGGGCGCAAGCCUGAUCCAGCCAUGCCGCGUGUAUGAAGAAGGCCUUAGGGUUGUAAAGUACUUUCAGCGGGGAGGCGUUACCCGCAGAAGAAGCACCGGCUAACUCCGUGCCAGCCGCCGCGGUAAUUC
rnacentral:rRNA from 1 species